rnacentral:rRNA from 1 species
AGCGAACGCUGGCGGCGUGCCUAACACAUGCAAGUCGAACGUGAAAUGGGGCAACCCAAAGUAAAGUGGCGUACGGGUGAGUAACACGUAGGUAAUCUACCCUGAAAUCUGGAAUAACCUGCCGAAAGGCGGGCUAAUACUGGAUAGAGCGGCGGAAUCCGUAAUUGGGUUUUCGGAGGAGGGAGGGAGCAACUCCCCUUCCGUUUCGGGUAGUGAGCCUGCGUCUCAUUAGCUAGUUGGCGGGGUAAGUGGCCCGACCCAAGGCAUUGAUGAGUAGCUGGUCUGAGAGGAUGAUCAGCCACACU